rnacentral:rRNA from 1 species
AGAGUUUGAUCAUGGCUCAGGACGAACGCUGCGGUAUGCUUAACACAUGCAAGUCGAACGAGACGAGAUGGAAGGAUCCUUCGGGUGACGGAAAUCUUAGAAAGUGGCGAACGGGUGAGUAACGCGUGGGUAACCUGCCCUAUGGAAAGGAAUAGCCUCGGGAAACUGGGAGUAAUGCCUUAUAAUACAUUGAAGUCGCAUGGCUUUGAUGUUAAACGCUCCGGUGCCAUAGGAUGGACCCGCGUCCCAUUAGCUAGUUGGUGAGAUAACAGCCCACCAAGGCGACGAUGGGUAACCGGUCUGAGAGGGCGAACGGUCACACUGGAACUGAGACACGGUCCAGACUCCUACGGGAGGCAGCAGUGGGGAAUAUUGCGCAAUGGGGGCAACCCUGACGCAGCAAUACCGCGUGAGUGAAGAAGGUUUUCGGAUCGUAAAGCUCUUGUUAUUGGGGAAGAGGGAA